rnacentral:rRNA from 1 species
UACAGAGGUCUCAAGCGUUGUUCGGAUUCAUUGGGCGUAAAGGGUGCGUAGGCGGCGCGGUAAGUCGGGUGUGAAAUCUCGGAGCUUAACUCCGAAACUGCAUUCGAUACUACCGUGCUUGAGGACUGGAGAGGAGACUGGAAUUUACGGUGUAGCGGUGAAAUGCGUAGAUAUCGUAAGGAAGACCAGUGGCGAAGGCGGGUCUCUGGACAGUUCCUGACACUGAGGCACGAAGGCCAGGGGAGCAAACGGG